ensembl:misc_RNA
UGCCUGGUCUCAUGGAGCUGAGGACCCGGGAAGCCGUGCGGUUGAGGCGAGCCUUGGGCUGCUUUAGGGGCGCUGACAGCCGAGGAGCGUUUUCCUGG